CAGUAGCCGCGGGAAUACGUAGGGCGCAAGCGUUGUCCGGAAUUAUUGGGCGUAAAGAGCUCGUAGGCGGUCUGUCGCGUCUGGUGUGAAAUCCCGAGGCUCAACCUCGGGCUUGCAUCGGGUACGGGCAGACUAGAGUGCGGUAGGGGAGACUGGAAUUCCUGGUGUAGCGGUGGAAUGCGCAGAUAUCAGGAGGAACACCGAUGGCGAAGGCAGGUCUCUGGGCCGCAACUGACGCUGAGGAGCGAAAGCAUGGGAAGCGAACAGGAUUAGAUACCCCGGUAGUCCCUGUCUCUUAUAC
rnacentral:rRNA from 1 species